rnacentral:rRNA from 1 species
UGGGGAAUAUUGCACAAUGGGCGAAAGCCUGAUGCAGCGACGCCGCGUGAAGGAUGAAGUAUUUCGGUAUGUAAACUUCUAUCAGCAGGGAAGAAAAUGACGGUACCUGACUAAGAAGCCCCGGCUAACUACGUGCCAGCAGCCGCGGUAAUACGUAGGGGGCAAGCGUUAUCCGGAUUUACUGGGUGUAAAGGGAGCGUAGACGGCAUUGCAAGCCAGAUGUGAAAGCCCGGGGCUCAACCCCGGGACUGCAUUUGGAACUGCAGGGCUGGAGUGUCGGAGAGGCAAGUGGAAUUCCUAGUGUAGCGGUGAAAUGCGUAGAUAUUAGGAGGAACACCAGUGGCGAAGGCGGCUUGCUGGACGAUGACUGACGUUGAGGCUCGAAAGCGUGGGGAGCAAACAGG